ACGUGAUCUGAGUUCAGACCGGAGUAAUCCAGGUCAGUUUCUAUCUAUAAAGAGGCUUCUCCAGUACGAAAGGACCGAAAAGACACGGUCUAUGUCUAAACAAACCGUAUUUACAAAUUUGUGUAUAAAACUCAAUAAUCUAAUAAACUUUUACUCAACUCAAGACCAGAGCA
rnacentral:rRNA from 1 species